rnacentral:rRNA from 1 species
UAAGGAAUAUUGCCCAAUGGGAGAAAUCCUGAAGCAGCAACGCCGCGUGGAGGAUGAAGGGUCUAUGACUUGUAAACUCCUGUAAAGAAGGAAAAGAUUCCCAUUAGAUGGGAGAUGAUGGUACUUCUGGAGUAAGCCCCGGCUAACUACGUGCCAGCAGCCGCGGUAAUACGUAGGGGGCAAGCGUUGUCCGGAUUUACUGGGUGUAAAGGGUGCUCAGGCGGAUUUGUAAGUCAGAGGUGAAAUCUUACAGCUUAACUGUGAAACUGCCUUUGAUACUGCAAGCCUAGAGUAUGGAAGAGAGUGAUGGAAUAUCUGGUGUAGCAGUGAAAUGCGUAGAUAUCAGAUAGAACACCAAUGGCGAAGGCAGUCACUUGGUCCAUUACUGACGCUAAAGCACGAAAGCGUGGGUAGCAAACA